CUGGGACAGACUAGUCCCAAGUCCUCUGUGCACGCUUUUGAUUUCCGUGACGUCACCGAGCGAAACGCGCGCAAGAGGACUAGCACAAAACGUUUUCUAGCCUGCAAAGCAGGUGCUCGCGGGCUUGGUAAAUCCCGUAAAUAUUUUCCAAUAUGGCGGAAUUCCAGAAUUUAUAAAAUUGUAUAAACAUGGAAGAAUAUGCAGAAUAUUUAAAGAUAAACGUGAGUAUUAAAGAUAUUAUGGUUGUACAAUGUAAAUAAUAAGGUAUUAUAAUAACUUCUUUCAGGAAUGACGUAAAUUUAAAGUAAAUUGUAACAUUUUUUUGACUAUUAGUAGCACCCUGAUCAUCAUCUGUUGACUGAGUUCACUAAGUGCAUCUCACCCGAUAGAACUAACUGUUGAAACUUCAAAGGUUUUGUAGAUAAAUAUUUUGAGUUUAUACAUUUAUGAGUCCUGACCAAGGGCAGUUGUGAAAAAUGCAACUACAUGCCCUCUGGCAGGAAUCCAACCAGCUGCACACUUACUUUUGUAUAUAUACAUGAACGUGCAGUUAGAGCUUGACACCUGGACUUUGUAGCUUAGUUAGUUAGAGCACUGGACCGGAAUCGCAGAGACGCAGGUUUGAUUCCUGCUAGAUGGACUAUAGAUAGCAUUUAAAUAGAGAGAUUUAUGCCCGUAUUCUAAAAGCUCACUCACACUCGAUGAGUGGAGGUUCGAUCUGAGCUUCUCUUGAGUGUCAAUGCUGAUUUGGAAUAGGGAAAGUAAGUAGUCACUGAGUACGAGGUGACACUAGCCCUCCAGCUGUUCAAAAAUAACAUUGACACUCAAGGCAAGCUCAGAUUGAACCCCCACUUACUGAGUGUGAGUGAGCUUUCAGAAUACGGGUGUUAAAUGGUGCACUGCCAGGACAAUUUGCCCCUUUUGUUCAUAGAGAUGUGGAUUCAUUUGAGCAUAAAAGGCAAAUAUUGCAGUAACAAUAUCCACAGCAAUAAAGAGUACUUGUAUUGAGUAUUAAUAUUAUUAUGAUUAUAUAGUGAUUUGAUGCAGGUUGAUGGUAAAGUGUACAAAGUCAUUUUUCUGGAAAAAGCAACCAUCACUGAGUGCAAUAUAAAAAUUAAGCAAUAUUCCAGUGACAUGUAUCACAAGAGAUAUCUGUUGAAGAGGGCUUGGAUUGGUUUAUUGGCCUUUCUCACCUUCAAGUGAUUUGCAACCUGUCAUGGAGAAAGUUUUUGGAUAUUUUACAUGUAUAUAAAAAAUAAUAAUUGUAAUAGAUGCUUUCUCUGCAGAGUAACUAAUAAAAGAUGAUGCUUUGGGGCUUAUUUCUGCUUAGUGGAGCUGUAAUAAUAUCAUAUUCAACAA